CCCUCCGGGGUGCAGCCGGCGGAUUACUCCGUCAGUGGUGAAAUCCUACGGCUCAACUGUAGAACUGCCAUUGAUACUGUUAGUCUUGAGUAUUGUUGAGGUAGGCGGAAUGUGUCAUGUAGCGGUGAAAUGCUUAGAUAUGACACAGAACACCAAUCGCGAAGGCAGCUUACCAAGCAAUAACUGACGCUCAUGCACGAAAGCGUGGGGAUCAAACA
rnacentral:rRNA from 1 species